AUUGAACGCUGGCGGCAGGCCUAACACAUGCAAGUCGAACGAGUGGCGGACGGGUGAGUAAUGUCUGGGAAACUGCCCGAUGGAGGGGGAUAACUACUGGAAACGGUAGCUAAUACCGCAUACCAUCGGAUGUGCCCAGAUGGGAUUAGCUAGUAGGUGGGGUAACGGCUCACCUAGGCGACGAUCCCUAGCUGGUCUGAGAGGAUGACCAGCCACACUGGAACUGAGACACGGUCCAGACGCCUACGGGAGGCAGCAGUGGGGAAGUUUGCACAAUUGGCGAAAGCCUGAUGCAGCCAGGCCGCGUGUAUGAAGAAGGCCGUCGGGUUGUAAAGUACUUUUAGCGAGGAGGCGUUACUCGCAGAAGAAGCACCGGCUAACUACGUGCCAGCAGCCGCGGUAAUUC
rnacentral:rRNA from 1 species